rnacentral:rRNA from 1 species
AUACGUAGGGGGCGAGCGUUGUCCGGAAUGAUUGGGCGUAAAGGGCGCGUAGGCGGCCAUGUAAGUCUGAAGUGAAAGUCCUGUUUUUAAGAUGGGAAUUGCUUUGGAUACUGUGUGGCUUGAGUGCAGGAGAGGUAAGUGGAAUUCCCAGUGUAGCGGUGACAUGCGUAGAGAUUGGGAGGAACACCAGUGGCGAAGGCGACUUACUGGACUGUAACUGACGCUGAGGCGCGAAAGUGUGGGGAGCAAACAGGAUUAGAUACCCUGGUAGUCCACACUGUAAACGAUGAAUGCUAGGUGUAGGGGGUAUCGACCCCUUCUGUGCCGCAGUAAACACAAUAAGCAUUCCGCCUGGGGAGUACGGCCGCAAGGUUGAAACUCAAAGGAAUGGACGGGG